rnacentral:rRNA from 1 species
AACAAACGCUGGCGGCGUGCCUAAUACAUGCAAGUCGAACGGGGAAAGCUUUCGGGUGAGUACUAGUGGCGCACGGGUGAGGAACGCGUGGAUAAUCUGCCUUAGAGUGGGGGAUAACUAGUCGAAAGAUUAGCUAAUACCGCAUAAGACCACAGGAGCUGCGGCUCUAGGGGUCAAAGGUUUUUCGCUCUAAGAUGAGGCCGCGUAAGAUUAGCUAGUUGGUAGGGUAACGGCCUACCAAGGCGACGAUCUUUGACUGGUCUGAGAGGAUGAUCAGUCACACUGGAACUGAGACACGGUCCAGACUCCUACGGGAGGCAGCAGUAGGGAAUAUUGCACAAUGGAGGAAACUCUGAUGCAGCGACGCCGCGUGAGUGAUGAAGGCCUUCGGGUCGUAAAGCUUUGUCGCAGGGGAAUAACACAAUGAAGGUACCCUGUAAGAAAGGAUCGGCUAACUUCGUGCCAGCCGCCGCAGUAAGAC